GAUGAAGAACGCAGCGAAAUGCGAUAAGUAGUGUGAAUUGCAGAAUUCAGUGAAUCAUCGAAUCUUUGAACGCACAUUGCGCCCCUUGGUAUUCCAUGGGGCAUGCCUGUUCGAGCGUCAUUUGUACCUUCGAGCUUUGCUUGGUGUUGGGUGUUUGUCUCGCCUUUGCGUGUAGACUCGCCUUAAAAUAAUUGGCAGCCGGCGUAUUGAUUUCGGAGCGCAGUACAUCUCGCGCUUUGCACUCAUAACGACAGCGUCCAAAAGUACAUUUUACACUCUUGACCUCGGAUCAGGUAGGGAUACCCGCUGAACUUAAGCAUAUCAAUAAGCGGAGGA
rnacentral:misc_RNA from 1 species